rnacentral:rRNA from 1 species
AGUAACACGUAGGUAACCUGCCCAUGUGCCCGGGAUAACUUCUGGAAACGGAUGCUAAAACCGGAUAGGUAGCAGACAAGCAUUUGACUGCUAUUAAAGUGGCUAAGGCCAUGAACAUGGAUGGACCUGCGGUGCAUUAGCUAGUUGGUGAGGUAACGGCCCACCAAGGCGACGAUGCAUAGCCGGCCUGAGAGGGCGGACGGCCACAUUGGGACUGAGACACGGCCAAACUCCUACGGGAGGCAGCAUG